CUGCUGCCUCCCGUAGGAGUCUGGUCCGUGUCUCAGUACCAGUGUGGGGGACCUUCCUCUCAGAACCCCUACGCAUCGUCGGUUAGGUGGGCCGUUACCCCGCCUACUGCCUAAUGCGCCGCAUGCCCAUCCCUGUCCGGCCGAAGCCUUUCCUGCCUCCGGGAUGCCCCGGUGGCAUGUACGCGGGUUUAGCCCGCCUUUCGGCGGGUUGUCCCCCUGACAGGGGCAGGUUGCAUACGUGCUACUCACCCGUGCGCCGGUCGCCGGCGGAG
rnacentral:rRNA from 1 species